GAUGAACGCUGGCGGCAUGCCUAAGACAUGCAAGUCGAACGAAGUGGCCCAACAAUAACUGAGUGCUUGCACAAAGUUUGCGAUGGAAUUUCCACUUAGUGGCAGACGGGUGAGUAACACGUAAGUAAUCUACCUCAAAGACUGGAAUAAUGUUUGGAAACGAACACUAAUACCGGAUAAUUCAUAUUUAGAUAACUAUAUAUGCUAAAGGAGCGUUGCUUCACUUGAGAUGAGCUUGCGGCGUAUUAACUAGUUGGUGGGUAAUGGCUACCAAGGUGACGAUGCGUAGCCGAACUGAGAGGGUGACCGGCCACAAUUGGGACUGAGACACGGCCCAAACUCCUACGGGAGGCAGCAGUGGGGAAUAUUGCGACAAUGGGGGAAACCCUGAUGCAGCGACGCCGCGUCGAGUGAAGAAGUAUUCGGUAUGUAAAGCUCU
rnacentral:rRNA from 1 species